rnacentral:rRNA from 1 species
GAUGAACGCUGGCGGCAUGCCUAAUACAUGCAAGUCGAGCGAACGGACGAGAAGCUUGCUUCUCUGGUGUUGGCGGCGGGCGGGUGAGUAACACGUGGAUAACCUACCUCUAAGACAGGGAUACUUUCGGGAAACCGGAGCUCCGACCGAAUAAUAUUUUCAACCUUACGGUUCAAAAGUUAAAGUCGGUCUUGAUGUCCCUUAUAGAUGGUACCGCGCUGCAUUAGCUAGUUGGUAAGGUAACGGCAUACCAAGGCAAGGAUUCAGAGCCGACCUGAGAGGGGGGUCGGACACACUGGAACUGAGCCACGGUCCAGACUCCUACGGGAGGCAACAGUAGAGAAUCUUACGCAAUGGGCGAAAGCCUGACGGAGCAAAGCCGCGUGAGGGAUGAAGGUCUUCGGAUCGGAAAGCUAUGUUAUUAGGGAAGAAGAAAUGUGUAAGUAACUGUGAACAUCUUGACGGUACCUAAUGAGAAAGCCACGGCUAACUACGUG